rnacentral:rRNA from 1 species
UCCCUACGGGACGCAGCAGUGAGGAAUAUUGGUCAAUGGGCGAGAGCCCGAACCAGCCAAGUCGCGUGAGGGGGUACUGCCCUAUGGGUUGUAAACCUCUUUUGUCGGGGAGCAAAAGCCGGACGUGUCCGGCUGUGAGAGUACCCGAAGAAAAAGCAUCGGCUAACUCCGUGCCAGCAGCCGCGGUAAUACGUAGGGGGCAAGCGUUAUCCGGAUUUACUGGGUGUAAAGGGAGCGUAGACGGCAGUGCAAGUCUGGAGUGAAAGGCGGGGGCUCAACCCCCGGACUGCUCUGGAAACUGUACG